AUGAAUGUAGAGUUUUAGUUUGAAUGAAAUAUCAGACGCAAGUAGCUUAGCUUAAAGUGGCUGUUACCAUGCAGGCUGAAGGCUGAAGUUAGCUAGCAGACAGACACAGGUGAAAGUUGUUAACGUUAGCAGCUAGUUAGUAACAUUACUUUGCGAACUCCAUGGGGCAUGGGUAGUUAACAUUAAACUUAAUACAUGUAGUGUUGAUGCAUAAUAUGUAGUGUUGCUAUAACUGGAAAGAGGACCAGUAAAACAAAUUAAUGAAGUAGGCUGAUGUGUAAGUUAUCUCACCCCUAAUUUAGGAACUGUAGUUUUGCAUAGUCAUGCUCAUAGAUCCGUCAUAUAGUGGAUGUGAAAGGGGAGCAUUUGGGGAAUUUCAAUUACCAGAAAUAUCAUGCCGAUAAGUAAAGGGAUCUUUAGUUUGUGAAGGGUAGUGUUUGGCUAAAUGGUAUUCAUUUUAUAGCCUUUAUUUGCCCAAUGUUUGGUGACUUAAAUUGAGGCAUGUGUUUAUUUAAGAUGCAUGUGAGUGUAGUAGUGCUUCAGUGAUGGUCUUUUCAUGUUCUGUGUGUUUUGCAAUGUAUUAAUUAAUGUAAGCCUCUUUCUGUUCCCUCUGUUAGUAGGUGGUGUGAGGACUGCUGCCCUGAGAACGCUGUGUCAGAGACACUUAGGCUGUGUGCAUUUUGGAAUGUUCCAAAUGUGUGUCACUUCCAUAAGGAAGAAGUUCCAAGCCUGCAAUUUAUCCCCUCCUUUCAUGUGUCUGUUAUGACUUUGUGGGCUCAACUGUCAACAACUGUCCAGGGCGAAGUCGGUCUACCCUGAUGGCACUACCUGAUGAUGUCUGUUAGCCAUGGCUGCUGGCCUCAACAUGGUAAGCCAUCCAGAAGUCCCAGCCUGGAGCCAGAGGCUGCUAUUGCAAGUCAGAUGGGAGAUGGCCUACAGUAUGUUAGGCAUCAGAAAAAGUGGUGUUCGCAUGAAGGCAGAGUUGCCGCAGGCAAUUAUGAGAUUAGACACUUGACAUUUACUGUGAAAGGUACCAUCAGAGCACCUCUCCCUACCCUGCAGGAUACCUAUACCAGAAGAGUACAACAACGGCCCAAAAGUAUUUCAAAAGACAUUUCACGCUCUGACCACGGACUGUUUAAACCACUGAGGUCAAGCAGACGUCUCUGUUCCCACGUGGAGGGAACACCCACAAAACAGACUGGGGAUGAGUUUCUUUACUCCGCAUCCUGUACACACACAACUCCUUAUACUACAUUACAUAGACUUGCCAGUUGCCAUACUGCACUUACACACACUGCGCUUUUAACCCCCUUAUCUGUGUCAAAUCAGAUAAGGUUGUGGUUGUGUUCAAACCAUGUCUACUGUUGUCUGUCAACAUCCACUUCAGUCAUACAUUUGAAAUGUC